rnacentral:rRNA from 1 species
GACGUAGGGCGCGAGCGUUGUCCGGAUUUAUUGGGCGUAAAGAGCUCGUAGGCGGCUUGUCGCGUCGUCCGUGAAAACCUGCAGCUCAACUGCAGGCUUGCGGUCGAUACGGGCAGGCUGGAGUUCGGUAGGGGAGACUGGAAUUCCUGGUGUAGCGGUGAAAUGCGCAGAUAUCAGGAGGAACACCGGUGGCGAAGGCGGAUCUCUGGGCCAUUACUGACGCUGAGGAGCGAAAGCGUGGGGAGCGAACAGG